CCUACGGGUGGCAGCAGUGGGGAAUAUUGGUCAAUGGACGAGAGUCUGAACCAGCCAAGUAGCGUGAAGGAUGACUGCCCUAGGGUUUGUAAACUUUUUUUAUAUGGGAAUAAAACGUUCCAGGUGUGGAAUUUUGUAUGUCCCAUAUGAAUAAGGAUCGGCUACCUCCGUGCCAGCAGCCGCGGUAAUACGGAGGAUCCGAGCGUUAUCCGGAUUUAUUGGGUUUAAAGGGAGCGUAGGUGGAUUGUUAAGUCAGUUGUGAAAGUUUGCGGCUCAACCGUAAAAUUGCAGUUGAAACUGGCAGUCUUGAGUACAGUAGAGGUGGGCGGAAUUCGUGGUGUAGCGGUGAAAUGCUUAGAUAUCACGAAGAACACCGAUUGCGAAGGCAGUUCACUGGACUGCAACUGACACUGAGGCUCGAAAGUGUGGGUAUCAAACAGGAUUAGAUACCCGGGUAGUC
rnacentral:rRNA from 1 species